UGGGGAGGGGGUGGGGGCGGGGGCGGCGGGGAGAAGAGAAAAGAAAGGGAACGAAGCAGCAGAACGUCCUUGAGCGGAGGCCGGGAGCCGGCGUCCCCGCGGCCGGCAGAGGCAGAGGCGAGGAGGGGACAGCAGGCAGGGCCGCCUUGGGCUGGGUGGUGCCUGCGCUGGGGGCCACGGGGCGUCUGGUCGCUGCCGGCUGCGCUGUGACCCCGAGGUCGGUGACGGCCGCACCCACCAGCGCUGCGCACGGCAGCUUUCACCGCGCGCCCUGCCUGGGUUCCCAGAGGCCAGGCGGGCUCUUGGGGAGCGGAGCAGAGCACAGCCUCGCCCGCACGGCCCCAUCCCCUCGCGGGACCGCUGAAGCCACGGCGGUGCAGACGGUGCCAGCCGCAGUGUUAGGGCUGACAACAAGGUCUUGCUAUGUGGCCCAGGCUAGCCUCAAACUCACAUGGAUCCUCCUGAUCCUCCUGCCUCAGCCUCCCGAGUGCCGGGAUUCCAGGUCGGCAGUACACACCCGGCUAGAGGAGUCUACUAUAAAUAGUGCCUAGGACCCGGAUGUGCAGCUGGGCUCCUGCUGGGGCUGUGCAUGCCCUCACACCUGGCACAGAGACCUCUGUCCUGCCAGUGAGCGGGGGCUUCCCCUCUGCCAGGCAAGGGAAGAGCUGGCAACUGGGACUCGGUCUUCACCAGCGGCACCCGACACCAG
rnacentral:lncRNA from 1 species